GCUUGCUAGCAGGCGUCGAGUGGCGGACGGGUGAGUAAUGCAUAGGAAUCUACCUAAUAGUGGGGGACAACCUGGUGAAAACCAGGCUAAUACCGCAUAAUCCCUACGGGGCAAAGCAGGGGACCUUCGGGCCUUGCGCUAAUAGAUGAGCCUAUGUCGGAUUAGCUAGUUGGUGAGGUAAUGGCUCACCAAGGCUACGACGCGUAGCGGGUCUGAGAGGACGGCCCGCCACAUUGGGACUGAGAUACGGCCCAGACUCCUACGGGAGGCAGCAGUAGGGAAUAUUGCGCAAUGGGCGAAAGCCUGACGCAGCGACGCCGCGUGUGGGAGGAAGCCCUUCGGGGUGUAAACCACUGUCAGAGGGGAAGAACUUCGCGGGCUCGAACAGAGCCUGCGGCUGACGGUACCCUCAAAGGAAGCGCCGGCUAACUCCGUGCCAGCAGCCGCGGUAAGACGGAGGG
rnacentral:rRNA from 1 species